UACGUAGGGUCCGAGCGUUGUCCGGAAUUACUGGGCGUAAAGCGCGCGCAGGCGGCCCGCGAGGUGUCACGUGAAAGCCCCGGGCUCAACUGGGGAGGGUCACGCGAUACUGUUCGACUCGAAGGCAGGAGAGGGAAGCAGAAUUCCCGGUGUAGUGGUGAAAUGCGUAGAUAUCGGGAGGAAUACCAGUGGCGAAGGCGGCUUCCUGGCCUGUUCUUGACGCUGAGGCGCGAAAGCUAGGGUAGCAAACGGG
rnacentral:rRNA from 1 species